rnacentral:rRNA from 1 species
AGGGUUUGAUCCUGGCUCAGAACGUACGCUGGCGGCACGCCUAACACAUGCAAGUCGAACGAAGUAGCAAUACUUAGUGGCAGACGGGUGAGUAACAUGUAGGUAUCUGCCCUUUGGCCUGGAAUAACACGAGGAAACUUGUGCUAAUACCGGAUAAGUCUUUACGGAGAAAGCUUUAUGCACCAUUGGAUGAGCCUGCACUUGAUUAGUUUGUUGGUGGGGUAAUGGCCUACCAAGACUGUGAUCAAUAGCUGAUUUGAGAGGAUGAUCAGCCACAUUGGGACUGAGACACGGCCCAAACUCCUACGGGAGGCAGCAGUGGGGAAUCUUGCACAAUGGAGGAAACUCUGAUGCAGCGAUGCCGCGUGAGUGAAGAAGGCCUUUGGGUUGUAAAGCUCUUUCGUCGGGGAAGAAAAUGACUGUACCCGAAUAAGAAGGUCCGGCUAACUUCGUGCCAACAGCCGCGGUAAUACGAAGGGACCUAGCGUAGUUCGGAAUUACUGGGCUUAAAGAGUUCGUAGGUGGUUGAAAAAGUUGGUGGUGAAAUCCCAGAGCUUAACUCUGGAACUGCCAUCAAAACUUUUCAGCUAGAGUAUGAUAGAGGAAAGCAGAAUUUCUAGUGUAGAGGUGAAAUUCGUAGAUAUUAGAAAGAAUACCAAUUGCGAAGGCAGCUUUCUGGAUCAUUACUGACACUGAGGAACGAAAGCAUGGGUAGCGAAGAGGAUUAGAUACCCUCGUAGUCCAUGCCGUAAACGAUGUGUGUUAGACGUUGGAAAUUAAUUUUCAGUGUCGCAGCGAAAGCGAUAAACACACCGCCUGGGGAGUACGACCGCAAGGUUAAAACUCAAAUGAAUUGACGGGGACCCGCACAAGUAGUGGAGCAUGUGGUUUAAUUCGAAGAUACGCGCAGAACCUUACCAACACUUGACAUGUUCGUCGCGACUUUGAGAGAUCAAAGUUUUCGGUUCGGCCGGACGAAACACAGGUGCUGCAUGGCUGUCGUCAGCUCGUGUCGUGAGAUGUUGGGUUAAGUCCCGCAACGAGCGCAACCCUCACUUUUAGUUGCCAUCAUUUAGUUGGGCACUCUGAAAGAACUGCCAGUGAUAAGCUGGAGGAAGGUGGGGAUGACGUCAAGUCCUCAUGGCCCUUACGUGUUGGGCUACACACGUGCUACAAUGGUAUCUACAACAGGAAGCAAGACUGCGAAGUUAAGCAAAUCCUUAAAAGAUACCUCAGUUCGGAUUGCACUCUGCAACUCGAGUGCAUGAAGCUGGAAUUACUAGUAAUCGUGGAUCAGCGUGCCACGGUGAAUGCGUUCCCGGGUCUUGUACACACCGCCCGUCACACCAUGGGAGUUGGUUCUACCUUAAGGCAAGGUUUCAAACCCUUGACCACGGUAUAGUCAGCGACUGGGGUGAAGUCGUAACAAGGUAACCGUA